rnacentral:rRNA from 1 species
UACGGAGGAUGCAAGCGUUAUCCGGAUUUAUUGGGUUUAAAGGGUGCGCAGGUGGCUUUGUAAGUCAGUGGUGAAAGUCUGCCGCUUAACGGUAGGACUGCCAUUGAUACUGCAGAGCUUGAGUUUGGAUGAGGUAGGCGGAAUGUGUAGUGUAGCGGUGAAAUGCAUAGAUAUUACACAGAACACCGAUUGCGAAGGCAGCUUACUAAUCCACAACUGACACUGAGGCACGAAAGCUGGGGGAGCAAACCGG